CGGAAUGUGGCGCAGCAGGAAGCGCAUGGCGUCCGGGACGCCAAGGCUGCUGGCUCGAGCCCGGCCAUUCCGA
rnacentral:tRNA from 1 species